rnacentral:tRNA from 1 species
GGAGAGGUGGCCGAGCGGCUUAAGGCACCCGCCUGCUAAGCGGGUAGGGGGCAAAAGCUCCCUCGCGGGUUCGAAUCCCGCCCUCUCCGCCA